GCGCCGGCUAACUACGUGCCAGCAGCCGCGGUAAUACGUAGGGCGCAAGCGUUGUCCGGAAUUAUUGGGCGUAAAGAGCUCGUAGGCGGCUUGUCGCGUCUGCCGUGAAAACCUGCAGCUUAACUGUGGGCUUGCGGUGGGUACGGGCUGGCUUGAGUGCAGUAGGGGAGACUGGAAUUCCUGGUGUAGCGGUGGAAUGCGCAGAUAUCAGGAGGAACACCGGUGGCGAAGGCGGGUCUCUGGGCUGUUACUGACGCUGAGGAGCGAAAGCAUGGGGAGCGAACAGGAUUAGAUACCCUGGUAGUCCAUGCCGUAAACGUUGGGCACUAGGUGUGGGGGCCAGUUCCAUGGUUUCUGUGCCGUAGCUAACGCAUUAAGUGCCCCGCCUGGGGAGUACGGCCGCG
rnacentral:rRNA from 1 species